ensembl:lincRNA
CUGAAGGGGUAAGGGAAGGAGGUAGUGCCUGCAGGGAGAAUCUCAGCAUCCGGCAAGUACUGACCAAGGUUCGUCUAUGUGUAGGGCCCCAUACCUUGUCUUGGGGAAGCUGGGCCACCGUACUCAGGCCACAGGGCCAUAGAGCUUGUAAGAAUGUCGCUCUUUCCUGCUGUGUCAGCCAUGAAGAGCUGGGUCUGGAGGAGGUACACAUUGCUGACUGGCAGGCCUAGAGAUCUAAGUUUCCAGGCUGUCUGUCCUGGUGGAGUCGUCACUUGGCAUGGAUAUUUUGAACCUGAAACUAUUCUUCAACAAAUCUUAAAAUUCACUUCCACCCCCAGAAGAUAAGGUUGCUAAAUGUCUAUAGGUGUCUGGAAGUCCCCCUCCCCUGACAAAGGCAGUGUCCCCUUUGUGUGUGAUGGACUUCUCAGCCUUCAGCACCAGUUUUCCAUAGCUGGCAAGCUUUCCAUUUGAGUAGGAGCAGAAGCGAGUAAAUAAACCGCUCAAUGGAUCCUGCCACCGCUUGACCAUAGCAAUACCUUCUGCCUUUUGGCUGCAUCUGGCCCACUUCCUUCCAACUUGACAGAAGUCUUUGGAAAACAAUGUGGUUGGGCAAUGAGAGCCUGGCUCAGAGUCCUUGGAACGAAUGUGCUGUUCUUUGUGUUCCUGUUAUCCUCAGGGAAGGGAGUAGACCGGCAUAUAACUCGGGUGCAAACCGCACAGAGUAAUGGGGUAAAACUGGGCUGACCCUCAAGACAGGGAGACCACACCUCCCCAGGGAACCAGUGUGAGCCCACCCCUGAAUAUCAGCAGAGAAAAGUCCACAGGACAAAGACACUGGGUACCCAAGAGGCGCAAAUACAGAGACUCAUUAGAGGAUUCUAGAAGCCAACUUGAGACUGUUUAUCUCCAAGGCAAAGAGUGAGAACUCUCCAUCUUGGUAAUGGGAGAAUUCUCUCCAGGGUUAGAGAUCACAGGGCAGGCACAUGGUCUGUGUGAAGCAAAUACAAGUCACUUUAAAAUGGGACAACAAAUGACUCCGUGACACACACACACACAUUGUUUAUGUGAUGUGUAGGCGGGUGUGUGAAGACGGAAGAGCUAAAAGCAGUUUGGGAAAACAACACCUUUUUUUUUCUUCUUCUUCUUGGUAGGAAGGCAGAUUAGGGGGGUUUAUGGUCUUCUGUGAUAACUAUGAAAGGUUUAUCAACAUUUAAAAAAAAAAGCCUGACAUUUUUUUGCAAAAUUGAUUUGAAGACUUGGCAGAUUUGAGGAAUCAUUCAGUAACAUUUUUACGGGUCGAUGCUAAUUUGAUUCUGCCGACCGGCUCGACGCGCCAAUUUACUGCCAGACCAGCAUUAAGCACGGACCUUCCGUGCGAGUUUUAUAGGCGGACAGCUCAUAAAGAUGUGUGCUUGACAAGUAUUCUGCCUCUCUUAGGAUGUAGAGUAUGAAGUGUUUAUCAAAAACCACCUAAAUCGACCCUGCUCCGGACUCGUAAACAACCCGGGGACGUCAGCCUCGGACUUCAUUCAGUAUUUCAUGUCUCACCACUCCAGAUCCUGGUAUGUGUGUGCCAGGAGACUUUGUCUCCAACAGCCACCUCCAGACACAUGACAAACUCUGGGGCAGGGCUGACUGUGGAAACAGACUC